CGAAUAGGUAAAUGGACGGCGAG
rnacentral:siRNA from 1 species